rnacentral:rRNA from 1 species
AUGAACGCUGGCGGCGUGCCUAAUACAUGCAAGUCGAGCGAACAGACGAGGAGCUUGCUCCUCUGACGUUAGCGGCGGCCGGGUGAGUAACACGUGGAUAACCUACCUAUAAGACUGGGAUAACUUCGGGAAACCGGAGCUAAUACCGGAUAAUAUAUUUAACCGCAUGGUUCAAUAGUGAAAGACGGUUUUGCUGUCACUUAUUGAUGGAUCCGCGCCGCAUUUGCUAGUUGGUAAGGUAACGGCUUACCAAGGCGACGAUGCGUAGCCGACCUGAGAGGGUGAUCGGCCACACUGGAACUGAGACACGGUCCAGACUCCUAAGGGAGGCAGCAGUAGGGAAUCUUCCGCAAUGGGCGAAAGCUUGACGGAGCAACGCCGCGUGAGUGAUGAAGGUCUUCGGAUCGUAAAACUCUGUUAUUAGGGAAGAACAAAUGUGUAAGUAACUAUGCACGUCUUGACGGUACCUAAUCAGAAAGCCACGGCUAACUACGUG